AUCAACUUUCGAUGGUAGGAUAGAGGCCUACCAUGGUGGUAACGGGUAACGGGGUGUUAGGGCACGACACCGGAGAGGGAGCCUGAGAAACGGCUACCACAUCCAAGGAUGGCAGCAGGCGCGCAAAUUACCCAAUCCCGACACGGGGAGGUAGUGACAAUAAAUAACAAUACGGGGUUCUUUCGGAUUUCGUAAUUGGAAUGAGUACAAUUUAAAUCUCUUAACGAGGAACAAUUGGAGGGCAAGUCUGGUGCCAGCAGCCGCGGUAAUUCCAGCUCCAAUAGCGUAUAUUAAAGUUGCUGCAGUUAAAAAGCUCGUAGUUGAAUUUCGGGACCAAUAUGUCGGUCGUGCCUCGGUACGUACUGGCAUCGUUGGUUUCUCCCUUCUGGCGAACCAUGAUGUCAUUUAUUUGGUGUCGUGGGGAAUCAGGACUGUUACUUUGAAAAAAUUAGAGUGUUUAAAGCAGGCUCACGCUUGAAUACAUUAGCAUGGAAUAAUGAAAUAGGACGUUUGAUUCUAUUUUGUUGGUUUCUAGGAUUGACGUAAUGAUUAAUAGGGAUAGUUGGGGGCAUUAGUAUUCAAUUGUCAGAGGUGAAAUUCUUGGAUUUAUUGAAGACUAACUACUGCGAAAGCAUUUGCCAAGGAUGUUUUCAUUAAUCAAGAACGAAAGUUAGGGGAUCGAAGACGAUCAGAUACCGUCGUAGUCUUAACCAUAAACUAUGCCGACUAGGGAUCGGAUGAUGUUAAUUUUUUAAUGACUCAUUCGGCGCCUUACGGGAAACCAAAGUGUUUGGGUUC
rnacentral:rRNA from 1 species